rnacentral:lncRNA from 1 species
CACCAAGAACCAAACUGUGCUGGCACCCUGAUCUUGGACUCCCAGUCUCUAGCACAGUGAGAAAUAAAUGUCUGUUGAUUAAGCCACCCAUCUAUGGCAUCUUUAUUAUAAGUAGCCCAAACUGACAAGGACAAUUGGUGACCCUGGCUCCAGCAGAUUCAGUGAAGUGUCAGUACAGAAAUCAGAGAAUACCUGACUGGGGAGUGAAUAUUAGGUGAAGAGGUAGAGACAAGUGUAAAUUCAGAAAAAUUUGGCAGUGAAGGGAGAGGCAGAGAA